CUGGGCUCGAAGCACAGUGGACCGGGGUAGAAAUAUCCCUUUUCGCAAGAACUGCUGUGGAGGUGCUGCAUGGCUGUCGUCAGCUCGUGUCGUGAGAUGUUGGGUUAAGUCCCGCAACGAGCGCAACCCUUAUCGUUAGUUGCCAGCGAGUCAAGUCGGGCACUCUAGCGAAACCGCCCCGGAUAACGGGGAGGAAGGUGGGGAUGACGUCAAGUCCUCAUGGCCUUUAUGUCCAGGGCUACACACGUGCUACAAUGGUCGGUACAAACCGUCGCAAACCUGCGAAGGGGAGCUAAUCGGAAAAAGCCGGCCUCAGUUCGGAUUGGAGUCUGCAACUCGACUCCAUGAAGCUGGAAUCGCUAGUAAUCGCGGAUCAGCACGCCGCGGUGAAUACGUUCCC
rnacentral:rRNA from 1 species